rnacentral:rRNA from 1 species
UCCCAGCACUCCGAGUCGCAGCCACAAUUAUUGGGUCUAAAACAUCCGUAGCUUGCAUUGUAAGUCUCUUGUGAAAUCGGGCAUCUUAAGUGUCCGUCGGGCAAGAGAUACUGCUUUGCUAGAGACCGGGAGGCGUAAGAAGUACAGAUAGGGUAGCGGUAAAAUGUGUUGAUCCUUUCUGGACUCACAGUCGCGAAGGCGUCUUACGAGAACGGAUCUGACAGUGAGGGAUGAAGGCUAGGGGC